rnacentral:rRNA from 1 species
GUGGGGAAUCUUGCGCAAUGGGCGAAAGCCUGACGCAGCCAUGCCGCGUGAAUGAUGAAGGUCUUAGGAUUGUAAAAUUCUUUCACCGGGGACGAUAAUGACGGUACCCGGAGAAGAAGCCCCGGCUAACUUCGUGCCAGCAGCCGCGGUAAUACGAAGGGGGCUAGCGUUGCUCGGAAUUACUGGGCGUAAAGGGCGCGUAGGCGGACAGUUUAGUCAGAGGUGAAAGCCCAGGGCUCAACCUUGGAAUUGCCUUUGAUACUGGCUGUCUUGAGUACGUGAGAGGUGAGUGGAACUCCGAGUGUAGAGGUGAAAUUCGUAGAUAUUCGGAGGAACACCAGUGGCGAAGGCGGCUCACUGGCUCGAUACUGACGCUGAGGUGCGAAAGCGUGGGGAGCAAACAGGAUUAGAUACCCGUGUAGUCC